AGUGAACGCUGGCGGUAGGCCUAACACAUGCAAGUCGAACGGCAGCACAGGAGAGCUUGCUCUCUGGGUGGCGAGUGGCGGACGGGUGAGGAAUACAUCGGAAUCUACUCUGUCGUGGGGGAUAACGUAGGGAAACUUACGCUAAUACCGCAUACGACCUACGGGUGAAAGCAGGGGACCUUCGGGCCUUGCGCGAUGGAAUGAGCCGAUGUCGGAUUAGCUAGUGGGCGGGGUAAAGGCCCACAAAGGCGACGAUCCGUAGCUGGUCUGAGAGGCUGAUCAGCCACACUGGAACUGAGACACGGUCCAGACUCCUACGGGAGGCAGCAGUGGGGAAUAUUGGACAAUGGGCGCAAGCCUGAUCCAGCCAUACCGCGUGGGUGAAGAAGGCCUUCGGGUUGUAAAGCCCUUUUGUUGGGAAAGAAAUCCAGCUGGCUAAUACCCGGUUGGGAUGACGGUACCCAAAGAAUAAGCACCGGCUAACUUCGUGCCAGCCGCCGCCGUAA
rnacentral:rRNA from 1 species